AUACGAACGAGACUCUUUCCUGCUAACCACGGUGAUUGCGGCGCUUGCCCUAACAAGCUUGCGUCGUUAACGAUCCAAAGUAGACGGUGUGAUUCUAUACAAGUCCAACGAACGCUCUCGCGUGUGAGCCGCUCGCCCAUUUUACUGAGUGUUGCGUGCCCGUACGUGUUUGUGAUCUGGAGAGUCCGCCGAUCCUGCGUAAUUACUUGAGACGGCGCUUCUCGCGCACUCGUUCGGUGCGCACUUUCUCUCUUGUCGGGGCGCGUUUUCGGGGUUCACGCUUCGUUGCGCGUUUCGGCGGAAGAACGUCCCCGGGCGACGUGUUGCGGGUCGUUUGCCUAUCUUGUAUAUGCGUAGGAAGUUUUCUUCUUAGAGGUAUUGACGACUCACGUUCAAAGUCGUAAGAGACAAAGAGCAAUAACAGGUCUGUGAUGCCCUUAGAUGUCCUGGGCCGCACGCGAGCUACAAUGCCGGGUACAACGGGUAACGUUUCCUUCUCCGAAAGGAGUGGGUAACCCUUUGAACACCCUUAUUAUAUCGACGAUCGACGUGCGUUUAUAUUAGCCUCGUGCUAUAUAUAUCGCGCGUUCUCCAUCGUCUGGCUCGCUUGGGCCUGGGGCUUGCAAUUCUUUCCCACUAACGAGGAAUGCCUUGUAGUGGCGGGUCACUGAGCUCGUGGCGACUCAGUCCCUGCCCUUUGUACACACCGCCCGUCGCUACUACCGAUUGAGUGUACCAGUGAGAUUCUUGGACUGGCGAACCUCAUAGCUUGUCUAUACUCUAGUCAAGUGAAAGAGGCGUACGAUGGGAAGAGACUCGAACUGGUGCACUUAGAGGAAGUAAAA
rnacentral:rRNA from 1 species